rnacentral:rRNA from 1 species
UACGUAGGGGGCUAGCGUUGUCCGGAAUCAUUGGGCGUAAAGAGCGUGUAGGCGGUCCGGUAAGUCCGCUGUGAAAGUCGGGGGCUCAACCCUCGAAUGCCGGUGGAUACUGUCGGGCUAGAGUCCGGAAGAGGCGAGUGGAAUUCCUGGUGUAGCGGUGGAAUGCGCAGAUAUCAGGAGGAACACCAAUAGCGAAGGCAGCUCGCUGGGACGGUACUGACGCUAAGGCGCGAAAGCGUGGGGAGCAAACAGG